rnacentral:lncRNA from 1 species
CGCGACCUCAGUACGUAAAGCAUGCUGAGGCGGUGUCAGGUCAUUUUAGGCUCUUCAGUUUCGCGUUUGGUAUCCGGCAUGGCUGCCACCUGUUUCUGGCUGGAGCCUCGGACACUGGCUCACUGCAGUUGGUGGUGUCGACAGAGCGGUAGGAGGGCGGCGGGCAGCAGGAGCUUCUCCUGCUGGGCAGGAAGACGAGUAGAAGGGAGCGGCACCGAGGCAUGCUGGAGGCUGGAGCCUGAGCCACCCCGGCUCGCCUCGCUGCGGUUGGUGGUGACCUCGGACACUGCAGCUCGGCCAGAGUGGUAGAAAUGUCCUGGUGUAGGCUUUUCUGGCUUUGCCCGUCUAGCUGCUCCAAGCCAGGCUGGAGGAGGAGGAGAAGGAAUCACCUGUGGUACGCUGGAGCCUGCAUGUGGCGUGACUCUGCAGCUCGCCUCAUGUGAUUGGUGGCAGCCACAGAGACUGCAGCUCGACAGGAGUGGUAGGAGGGUGCCUGCGGGGGCAAGGUGGUAGGAACCUUGUAGGGUGGGCUGCUGCAUUGACGGCGACAGCAAUUGUAUUGGCAUUGGUGCUAGUGGUGGUAGUGGCAGCAAGUCUG